rnacentral:rRNA from 1 species
GAUCAUGGCUCAGGAUGAACGCUGGCGGCAUGCCUAAUACAUGCAAGUCGAACGGAAACCUCGGGUUCAGUGGCGAACGGGUGAGUAACACGUAGGUAACCUGGCCAUGUACCCGGGAUAAUUUCUGGAAACGGAAACUAAAACCGGACAGGCAGGGGCGAGGCAUCUUGCCCCUGUUAAAGGAGCCACAAAGCUCUGGACAUGGAUGGACCUGCGGUGCAUUAGCUAGUUGGCGGGGUAACGGCCCGACCAAGGCAGCGAUGCAUAGCCGACCUGAGAGGGCGAACGGCCACAUUGGGACUGAGACACGGCCCAAACUCCUACGGGAGGCAGCAGUAGGGAAUUUUCGUCAAUGGGGGGAACCCUGAACGAGCAAUGCCGCGUGUGUGAAGACGGUCUUUCCGGACUGUAAAGCACUGUUGUAAGAGAAAACGGCCAUGAUAGGAAAUGAUCAUGGAGUGAUGGUAUCUUACCAGAAAGUCACGGCUAACUACGUGCCAGCCGCCGC